GAUGAAGAACGCAGCGAAAUGCGAUAAGUAAUGUGAAUUGCAGAAUUCAGUGAAUCAUCGAAUCUUUGAACGCACAUUGCGCCCGCCAGUAUUCAGGCGGGCAUGCCUGUUCGAGCGUCAUUUCAACCCUCAAGACCCCUUCGGGGGACUUGGUGUUGGGGACCGGCACAGGGGCCUGCCUGCUUGUCUUGCAGCGCCCUCGCCGCCCCCGAAAUGAAUUGGCGGCCUCGUCGCGGCCUCCCCUGCGUAGUAGCACAACCUCGCAACGGGAACGUGACGGCGGCCACUGCCGUAAAACAACCCAAUUUUAUUAGAGUUGACCUCGAAUCAGGUAGGAAUACCCGCUGAACUUAAGCAUAUCAAUAAGCGGAGGA
rnacentral:misc_RNA from 1 species